rnacentral:rRNA from 1 species
CCGGCGCACGGGUGAGUAACACGUAUCCAACCUGCCGUCUACUCUUGGACAGCCUUCUGAAAGGAAGAUUAAUACAAGAUGGCAUCAUGAGUCCGCAUGUUCACAUGGUUAAAGGUAUUCCGGUAGACGAUGGGGAUGCGUUCCAUUAGAUAGUAGGCGGGGUAACGGCCCACCUAGUCUUCGAUGGAUAGGGGUUCUGAGAGGAAGGUCCCCCACAUUGGAACUGAGACACGGUCCAA